AACGAACGCUGGCGGCAUGCCUAACACAUGCAAGUCGAACGAGACCUUCGGGUCUAGUGGCGCACGGGUGCGUAACGCGUGGGAACCUGCCCUUAGGUUCGGAAUAACUCCCCGAAAGGGGUGCUAAUACCGGUUAAUGUCUUCGGACCAAAGAUUUAUCGCCUUUGGAUGGGCCCGCGUUGGAUUAGCUAGUUGGUAGGGUAAAAGCCUACCAAGGCGUCGUUCCAUAGCUGGUCUGAGAGGAGGAUCAGCCACACUGGGGCUGGGACACGGCCCAGACUCCUACGGGAGGCAGCAGUGGGGAAUAUUGGACACUGGGCGAAGGCCUGAUCCAGCAAUGCCGCGUGAGUGAUGAAGGCCUUAGGGUUGUAAAGCUCUUUUACCCGGGAAGAUAAUGACAGUACCGGGAGAAUAAGCUCCGGCUAACUCCGUG
rnacentral:rRNA from 1 species